rnacentral:rRNA from 1 species
UACGUAGGGUGCAAGCGUUAAUCGGAAUUACUGGGCGUAAAGCGUGCGCAGGCGGUUAUUUAAGACAGAUGUGAAAUCCCCGGGCUCAACCUGGGAACUGCAUUUGUGACUGCAUAGCUAGAGUACGGUAGAGGGGGAUGGAAUUCCGCGUGUAGCAGUGAAAUGCGUAGAUAUGCGGAGGAACACCGAUGGCGAAGGCAAUCCCCUGGACCUGUACUGACGCUCAUGCACGAAAGCGUGGGGAGCAAACAGG